GACGAACGCUGGCGGCGUGCUUAACACAUGCAAGUCGAACGGAAAGGCCCUGCUUUGGUGGGGUGCGCGAGGGGCGAACGGGUGAGGAACACGGGAGUAACCGGCCCUGGACUGGGGGAUAACUGCAGGAAACUGGGGCUAAUACCGGAUAGGAGCUCCUGCUGCAUGGUGGGGGUUGGAAAGUUUCGGCGGUUGGGGAUGGACUCGCGGCUUAUCAGCUUGUUGGUGGGGUAGUGGCUUACCAAGGCUUUGACGGGUAGCCGGCCUGAGAGGGUGACCGGCCACAUUGGGACUGAGAUACGGCCCAGACUCCUACGGGAGGCAGCAGUGGGGAAUAUUGCACAAUGGGCGGAAGCCUGAUGCAGCAACGCCGCGUGCGGGAUGACGGCCUUCGGGUUGUCAACCGCUUUCGCCUGUGACGAAGCGUGAGUGACGGUAAUGGGUAAAGAAGCACCGGCUAACUACGUG
rnacentral:rRNA from 1 species